UUCAAUUCUAUACUGCGAGAUAAGUCUAGGAUGGGUGCAUUCAAACUGAUUUUAACUUGGAUUUAUGGCUUUUUUUUUACUUAGUUUAAUUUCAUUAAGGUAUAUUCAACAUUUGUCUAUGCAUCUUGGACCGAGUCAAAGUAUGAAGUGGAAAGAUAUCCUCAAAGGCGUUGUGAUUUAGACAAAUUUUAUGCAGAAAAGUGUUUUCGGGAUCACAUUAAGUCACUAUAUGACGUAAUUGUGUGGGCGACUUAUGACAGGUCGACCUUAAUUGUAUCUAUAUUUGUUAUCCGAUCUAAAAAUAUUGUCGACACUCCAGUGUGGUGCGCCUGCAUUCCAAGCUUUGUUAGUUGAGAUCAUAACUGCAAAAGCAAGUGAUCAAGUGAGUGCAGAUGGGAAGACUAUUCUUACUUCUUUGUCCAUUGUCUAAACAACUUUUAAAGUCUAUCCAGUCUAUCCUAGAUAUUCUAAGAUGCCGAGGAAAGAAAGAGUUAGCUUGUCGCACCAAUAUGCAGAAAAAAUGUAGCGAAUGGGAUCUGGCAUAAGGGAGGACAAGCUUAGUGCAGAUGCAAAGAAUAGAAGAUAUCAUGAUUACAGGAGGAUCAAGGAGACUACAUGGUCGGGCUUGGCUACAAGGAAAUCUCUGUCAUAUGGCUGCAAGCCUGCAACUACAUCAAUAUUUCCGAAGAAGUUCUUCAUCCACUACUUUAUUAUCUGGUUUCAAGUAAGCCUUAGUUUCCGUUUGAUACGAUAUAAACGUUCUUUGGAUAUAAGAGUAAAUUACUGCAACACUACAAGACAGCUAACCAGAUGGUUACACAUCAAUGUGAUAUUUCACUUUUCUCUGUUGUAUUUUGAAUAGUUGAAUCCAUGGGAUGCAUUAUUCAUCGUACAAUAUUAUUUUUUCACAUUUCCAUGACUACUAGUUCAAAAAAUUAAUGUGCCCUAGGAAGAAGGAUGUUCGGUCUUGGCGAUCUUUUAAUAUAUGGACAUGUGAUCUACUUUGCAUGCAUCUAUAGUGCUUUGCUUCAUAAGUUUAAAUGAUGGUUGCGUGCAUAAAUUCUUCUACUAAUGA